AGAGUUCGAUUCUGGCUCAGGACGAACGCUGGCGGCGCGCCUAACACAUGCAAGUCGAACGGAGAUGCAUUUAGCUUGCUAGAAGCAUCUUAGUGGCGGACGGGUGAGUAACACGUGAGCAACCUGCCUUUGUGUGGGGGAUAACGUCUGGAAACGGACGCUAAUACCGCAUAAUGCUGAAUUACCGCAUGGUAAUUCAGCCAAAGAUUUAUCGCACAGAGAUGGGCUCGCGGCUGAUUAGCUAGUUGGUGAGGUAACGGCCCACCAAGGCGACGAUCAGUAGCCGGACUGAGAGGUUGAUCGGCCACAUUGGGACUGAGACACGGCCCAG
rnacentral:rRNA from 1 species